GACGAACGCUGGCGGCGUGCUUAACACAUGCAAGUCGAACGGUGAAGCUCCAGCUUGCUGGAGUGGAUCAGUGGCGAACGGGUGAGUAACACGUGAGCAACCUGCCCCAGACUCUGGAAUAAGCGCUGGAAACGGCGUCUAAUACUGGAUACGAGAUCAAGCCGCAUGGUUAUGGUCUGGAAAGUUUUUCGGUUUGGGAUGGGCUCGCGGCCUAUCAGCUUGUUGGUGAGGUAAUGGCUCACCAAGGCGACGACGGGUAGCCGGCCUGAGAGAGCGACCGGCCACACUGGGACUGAGACACGGCCCAGACUCCUACGGGAGGCAGCAGUGGGGAAUAUUGCACAAUGGGCGAAAGCCUGAUGCAGCGACGCCGCGUGAGGGAUGACGGCCUUCGGGUUGUAAACCUCUUUCAGCAGGGAAGAAGCGAAAGUGACGGUACCUGCAGAAGAAGCACCGGCUAACUACGU
rnacentral:rRNA from 1 species